GCUCCGGUGGCCUAGUGGUUAAAGCGUCAGCCUCGGAUGCGGUAAGUCGUGGGUUCGAUCACCGUUCGAUUCA